GGAGGUAGAGCUCAGUGGUAGAGCACAUGCUUAGCAUGCACAAGGUCCUGAGUUCAAUCCACAGUACUUCCA
rnacentral:tRNA from 1 species